rnacentral:rRNA from 1 species
GACGAACGCUGGCGGCGUGCCUAAUACAUGCAAGUCGAGCGGACCGAAGGGAGCCUGCUCCUUUAGGUUAGCGGCGGACGGGUGAGUAACACGUGGGCAACCUGCCCUGCAGACUGGGAUAACUUCGGGAAACCGGAGCUAAUACCGGAUAACACCGAAAACCGCAUGGUUUUCGGUUGAAAGGCGGCUUUUAGCUGUCACUGCAGGAUGGGCCCGCGGCGCAUUAGCUAGUUGGUGAGGUAACGGCUCACCAAGGCGACGAUGCGUAGCCGACCUGAGAGGGUGACCGGCCACACUGGGACUGAGACACGGCCCAGACUCCUACGGGAGGCAGCAGUAGGGAAUCUUCCGCAAUGGACGAAAGUCUGACGGAGCAACGCCGCGUGAGCGAAGAAGGUCUUCGGAUCGUAAAGCUCUGUUGUCAGGGAAGAACAAGUACCGUUCGAACAGGGCGGUACCUUGACGGUACCUGACGAGGAAGCCACGGCUAACUACGUGCCAGCAGCCGCGGUAAUACGUAGGUGGCAAGCGUUGUCCGGAAUUAUUGGGCGUAAAGCGCGCGCAGGCGGUUCCUUAAGUCUGAUGUGAAAUCUCGCGGCUCAACCGCGAGCGGCCAUUGGAAACUGGGGAACUUGAGUGCAGGAGAGGGGAGCGGAAUUCCACGUGUAGCGGUGAAAUGCGUAGAGAUGUGGAGGAACACCAGUGGCGAAGGCGGCUCUAUGGCCUGUAACAGACGCU